rnacentral:rRNA from 1 species
ACCUACGGGCGGCAGCAGUGGGGAAUAUUGCGCAAUGGGCGAAAGCCUGACGCAGCGACGCCGCGUGAGGGAUGAAGGUCUUCGGAUCGUAAACCUCUGUCAGCAGGGAAGAACGGUAACUGUGCUAAUCAGCAGUGAAUUGAGGGUACCUGAAAAGGAAGCACCGGCUAACUCCGUGCAAGCAGCCGCGGUAAUGCGGGGGGUGCGAGCGUUAAUCGGAAUUACGGGGCGUAAAGCGCUCGUAGGCGGUAUGUCAAGUCAAGGGUGAAAUCCCGGGGCUCAACGUGGGA